rnacentral:rRNA from 1 species
AUACGAAAGGUGCAAGCGUUGUUCGGAUUUACUGGGCGUAAAGCGAUCGUAGGUGGCUUAUUAAGUCGGAUGUGAAAUCCCGGGGCUCAACCCCGGAACUGCAUUCGAUACUGGUAGACUAGAGUUUGGGAGGGGUAAGCGGAAUUCCGUGUGUAGCAGUGAAAUGCGUAGAUAUACGGAGGACCACCUGAGGCGAAGGCGGCUUACUGGACCAAUACUGACACUGAGGAUCGAAAGCGUGGGUAGCAAACAGGAUUAGAAACCCUAGUAGUCC